CGCCCUGAAAGAUGGAGCAAAAGUGCUGAAGC
rnacentral:piRNA from 1 species